rnacentral:rRNA from 2 species
UAUACCGUGAAACUGCGAAUGGCUCAUUAAAUCAGUUAUCGUUUAUUUGAUAGUACCUUACUACUUGGAUAACCGUGGUAAUUCUAGAGCUAAUACAUGCUAAAAACCCCGACUUCGGGAGGGGUGUAUUUAUUAGAUAAAAAACCAAUGCCCUUCGGGGCUCCUUGGUGAUUCAUAAUAACUUAACGGAUCGCAUGGCCUUGCGCCGGCGACGGUUCAUUCAAAUUUCUGCCCUAUCAACUUUCGAUGGUAAGGUAUUGGCUUACCAUGGUUUCAACGGGUAACGGGGAAUUAGGGUUCGAUUCCGGAGAGGGAGCCUGAGAAACGGCUACCACAUCCAAGGAAGGCAGCAGGCGCGCAAAUUACCCAAUCCCGACACGGGGAGGUAGUGACAAUAAAUACUGAUACAGGGCUCUUUUGGGUCUUGUAAUCGGAAUGAGUACAAUUUAAACCCCUUAACGAGGAACAAUUGGAGGGCAAGUCUGGUGCCAGCAGCCGCGGUAAUUCCAGCUCCAAUAGCGUAUAUUAAAGUUGUUGCAGUUAAAAAGCUCGUAGUUGAACCUUGGGCCUGGCUGGCCGGUCCGCCUCACCGCGUGUACUGGUCCGGCCGGGCCUUUCCUUCUGGAGAUCCUCAUGCCCUUCACUGGGUGUGUUGGGGAACCAGGACUUUUACUGUGAACAAAUUAGAGUGUUCAAAGCAGGCCUUUGCUCGAAUACAUUAGCAUGGAAUAAUAGAAUAGGACGUGCGGUCCUAUUUUGUUGGUUUCUAGGACCGCCGUAAUGAUUAAUAGGGAUAGUCGGGGGCAUCAGUAUUCAAUUGUCAGAGGUGAAAUUCUUGGAUUUAUUGAAGACUAACUACUGCGAAAGCAUUUGCCAAGGAUGUUUUCAUUAAUCAGUGAACGAAAGUUAGGGGAUCGAAGACGAUCAGAUACCGUCGUAGUCUUAACCGUAAACUAUGCCGACUAGGGAUCGGGCGAUGUUUCUAUCUUGACUCGCUCGGCACCUUACGAGAAAUCAAAGUUUUUGGGU